UACAGAGGUCUCAAGCGUUGUUCGGAUUCAUUGGGCGUAAAGGGUGCGUAGGCGGCGCGGUAAGUCGGGUGUGAAAUUUCGAGGCUUAACCUCGAGCCUGCAUUCGAUACUGGGCGGCUAGAGUCUGGUAGGGGGAUCUGGAAUUCCUGGUGUAGCGGUGGAAUGCGCAGAUAUCAGGAGGAACACCGGUGGCGAAGGCGGGAUCCUGGGCCAGUACUGACGCUGAGGAGCGAAAGCGUGGGGAGCAAACAGG
rnacentral:rRNA from 1 species